AUUGUGUUUUCUACUUGGAAAAGUUAUCAAAACAGAGGCAAUUCGAAUGUUUGCCCUCGUGGCCGGCCGGGGCCUCCAGGGAGAGCUGGACCCAGAGGUGAUAAGGGAAGGCGAGGAAGGAAAGGUUCCCUAGGACUCAUGGGACCACCAGGAAAAAGUGGAAAACAAGGAGUCAUGGGACCACCAGGGAUGAGAGGAGAAAAUGGAAUGAAAGGUGACAUGGGGCAACCGGGUAAGCCUGGUAUGCCAGGAUUGAAAGGUGAACCAGGUGAAUCUAUUUCGAGUCCAAAAGUAGCAAUUACUCCCCCAAAACUAUUUGUCAAUGAAACCAACACAGCCUCACUCCUGUGCUCCACGUCUGGAAAUCCCACCGCCCAAAUAUCGUGGUCAAAGGUCAAUGGAUCGUUACCAAGUGACAGGACCAAAGUGCGCUUAGACGGUCUGAUUCAGAUAACUGAGGUUCGCACGAGCGACUCAGGGAAAUACAAAUGCGUGGCACAAAAUAUCCUGGGGAAAGAUGAAAAAACUGCAAGGCUUGUCGUACGAAGUAAACCUAAAGUUUCUCUCUCCUUUGGCCCGACUUAUGUUGAAAAGGGCAAGAACGUCACGUUACCAAAAUGUCACGUGACCAGUUUUCCUUCGGCAGUCAUCACAUGGUCUAGAAUGCGCGGUGAACUCGCACAUUCCAGAACUGUUAUGAAAGACGGACAGUUGUUGAUUAUCCGUGCUCAGAAAAGGGAUUCUGGUUUGUACGAAUGCAAAGCCUCCAAUAUCCUGGGGCAUGACUCAGCUUUGACAAAUCUUGGUGUCUUAGAUCUGCCCCGUUUUACAAUCAAUCCACCUGCACAGCUUGAUGUAGGAAAAGGCGAAAACAUUUCAGUCCCUUGUCAGGCUACUGGUGACCCUCAACCGAUAAUCACGUGGGUUAAAGAUAACAGUGAGCUGCCAGUUGGAAGAUCACAAGUUAGAGCGAAUGGAACACUUCAGAUGUGGAAUGUUAAGGACGAAGACUCGGGUAUAUACAUUUGUACAGCCACCUCACAAGGAUUGUUUAAAACGUCUUCUUUAAUGCAACUGAUCGUGACUGUUGCGAAAGAAUGUGGGCCCGUCGGUGUGGUGGACAAAAAUAAAAUUCCAGAUGCCGCUCUGAAAGCCAGCACAUUCUUUAGUACAGACUAUCAUCCAUACUACGGCCGACUGAAUGAAACCAGGGGAUAUGGGGGUUGGUGUGCUAAGACUAAAUUUGACAGAACAGACUAUCUUCAAGUUGAUAUGGGUGCGGUGCUGUCCUUAUGUGCUGUUGCUACGCAGGGAGCACGGAGCUAUAGUGGUGAAUGGACCGCCAGCUACAAAUUGCAUAUAUCCACAGACGGUGUAACUUGGACAACUUACAAGGAAUCGAAUGUUGAAAAGUGUGUGAGCGAUGGCUGUCCUGAAAGGCAUAAUUAAUUCAUAACGAGCUGGGGAACGGAAGUCAGUUGAACGGGCAAGAAUUGAAAUCAUUUCAGCUUCAGUCGACUAUUAGCGACCUGCGAUAGUGCUUCGCACCGCAGAAGAAGAUCAACCAGAGUCAGUUAAAAGAAACUAAGGGUAUUAUUAACCAGGUAUGUUUCUAAGUUUAUCCAUAUCUUGAUUUAAACCUUGCCAUUUCAGAGAAUGCGAAAAAAAUAAACCAUGUCAGGAACAAUUAGGGGAAAACAUUUGCCUCCACAGCGGCAGGUUAUCAUUCUUCCUAUCCUACAGAGAGUGGCUUACGCAUGACCAAAGUUCGAACGUUGCUUAUUUGUGGAAGUUUCCUAAUAACGCAGUUUUUUUCCAUCCCGGAAUAUGACAGUUCUGAUAUGCCUCACAUGACUGGUCGACAGGCUUCAUUUUUUACCGCGCUGUUUUUGAUUUCUCAAAUGUUCCGUGACAUUGUCGGUCAGCAGUGUAGAGCUGGUGGAGACCUAUACUCAAUUUAUCAAAUGAUGCUUAAGGACCACACCUUUAAGACGUUUAAGUUUCCACCAGGCACGCUGGAAUGCAGAGAGGCUUGUCUGGUUGAUGACAGAUGUCAAAGCUAUAAUGUAGUCAUGUUCAUUGCAAUAUGUGAGUUAAACAAUCGGACUAAAGAGGCCAGACCAAAGGACUUUGUCAAGGACGAGAACAGAUAUUACAUGCCGAUAGGUCGAAAACGAGAAUGUGAGCCUGUUGGUGUGGCAGACAGGAACAUAAUACCAGACGCAAGAAUGACAGCGAGCACCACUAACAGUGAUAAAGAAUAUCCAUACUAUGGCCGAUUGAAUGAAGGGAGAGGACACGGUGUGUGGUGUCCUGAUACUAGAUCUGAGAGAACAGACUUUCUUCAAGUUGAUAUGGGCACAGAGCACUCUGUUUGCGCCGUGGCGACACAAGGACAUGGAGGGGGUGCUCGAGUCACCAGUUACAAAGUACGCCUUUCUGCGGACGGAAUAACUUGGAUCACUUACAAGGAAAUAAAUAUUAAAAAGGUGUUUGUAGGAAAUUCCGACGGAAGGAGUGUUGUGAAAAAUUCAAUGGGUACUGACGUCAAAGCCAGAUAUGUUCGGUUUUAUCCUGUCACAUUUAACCUGUGGCCAUGCACGAGUGUUGAAAUAUAUGUGAGGAAAUGAUGGACCAAACAAGUUUACUUAUCUAACAGCUCAAUCACUAACAGCAUACAAUCAGAAUAACUAGAAAGAAAACACCAAAAAAAUCACAAAAAUAAUUUUAGAAUUGAUAGUGAUAAUGAUAGUAAUGAUUAUGAUAGAAGUAUUGACAAAGAUAACAAUUACAAGUCUAGGCUGGAAUAUGCAAACAAAGCUCUGAUUCCGUACAGAUAGUCAAUAAGCGAACGGAAAAUCUUCUAUAUUCAGCAGAAUUACACAGUUAAACAGAAUCUGGGGUAGACGGAUAAGAUAUUCCGCAUUUGUUUCAAAGUUGUUUGUGUAACAUCGGUAUUUAUCUAGUAUAACAUUCAGUUACCAUUGCUGAUUUCUGACGUGAUCUCUAGAUACAUAUGAGUCAUCUUUUCUAUCCAGACCAGUUGAUGACUUGUGGAAGGACAUCAGUGAAAGUCUAAUUGAAAUUCCUGAAGCAGGACAAAAAUAGUCAAACAAUGCAAUAAGUGAAUGGCUCAUGCAAAUAAUAUCAAUAGAUUCAGUGGAAUUGAGACUACUGAAGGGUGGAUACCUGAAACCAAACAGCAAAGCAGUCAGUCAAUAAGUAAUCAUGCAGUUAUGUAGGAAAACAGUAUCAACUCGUCCAAACAAUAAUGUACCAACAAAAGCGGGCUAAAACACGCCAACAGCAGCUCAGUAUGCUACAUUAACAGCAAUGAGUUACUUUUCAACUUCAUUACCCGAUGAAGACAAGCAGUAAAGAAGUUAUAGGGUCGCGAUUUACAGUUGCCUUUUAUAGCUUGAGUCCGCAAAUAAUAGGUACUAUUUAUUAUGAAA